UUCAUGUAUGCUCUAUAGUUUUUUCUUCACUGUUUAUCUAUAUGUCCUCGGCAUAAAUUGACAAUUAUGAAUCUAUGAAUUUUAUACAUUUUGUCUAUCUUGCCAUCUUGUACUAAAAAAGAUGCCAUAUUUCUGUGGAAGUGAAGAAGAAUACUCCUAUUAAAUAUUAAUGAAUUUUGUGCAUUUCGCUCAUCUUGCCAUUUUGUAUUUAAAACGACGCUACGUCGCCAUUUUUAAAAUUUGCAAUUUUAUUUGCUUUUCGAUUGAUGAUAACUAAGAAUGGAAGAGUGUUCAUUUUGAUGCAACUGCAAAAGCAAGUUGUCUGGCGUGGUGUUCGUUUAAUUUUGGAGGAUCUAAUUAAUUGUGGAACAUUAAAAAAAAACCCUGGAUGGCAUUAAUUUACAGUGCCUUGGUUGUGUCAGUGUUCAUUCGAUCCAGAAAGCACAAAAGUGCCUUUUUUCCAUUGGGAAUGGAUACAGGGUGGCAUUGCUGAAGGAAGGAUUUAUGACGAAUGAA